rnacentral:lncRNA from 1 species
AAUUAAAAUUUAUCUAUUGACAAAAAUUCAUCCUUGAAUAACAAUUCAUUCUUCAAUAAUAUUUCAUCCUUGAGUCACAUUUCAUCUACAUACUUCACCAAUGUUAAAAAUCCAUCUUUAAUCCUAACACAUCAAACCCUAAUAUAACUUCUCCCACUCUCUAAUCUAAUCUCAUCCAAUUUUCAUCUUCUCAACCGUCUCAACUGCCUACAACCUCAUCUACCCUGAAAAAUUCUCACUGAUUUGGUUGAUGAUGAGCUUAGAUUGACUUCACCAAAAUAGAACCAGCUACACAUGAAACAAAAAAUCAGAGUUGCCGCCUCUACUGCCAACCGCAUAAAUAAAAUAAAAUAAAAAAUGGAAAAUGGACCGUUGCUCCACAGCAAAAACGGAGAGGAAGCAAAUAAUAAUAAUAAUAAUAAUAAUAAAAAGCCACCUUGAUCAUCUUUUAAUUUAAUUUAAUUUUCUUCUAUCCUUCUUUAUUUUUUUUAUUCUACCUUCUUUCUCUUCUGUUCUAUUUUUUUUUUCUUUCUUCUUCUUCUUUUUCCUUCUAUUUUUUUUAUCUUCUUAUUUUAUUUUAUUUUAUAUUUUAUUUUUUUAAUAAUUUAUAUAU